GGUUGUGGCUCAGUGGAAGAACACUCGCCUAGCAUGUGUGAGGCACUGGGUUCAAUCAUCAGCACCA
rnacentral:tRNA from 1 species